ensembl:lncRNA
GGGAGGGCGGAGCGCGGGCCGCGCCACAGCGGCGGGUGGUGUGGGACGUGGUGGUGGGUUGCUGUCCCUGCGGUCGUAUCGAGGAGCUCAGUUAGGCUCCGUGAGGGGUUGCGGUGUUACUGAGGACUGCGAGAGGCCGUGAGCCCUCUCAGCUCUGCCCCUUGUGAGGAGAAGGGCCGCCCCAGCCCCGAAUGAAGAAGCACUCUUCGCAGUCUCCUCCCUGAUCUGUGUCCCUGUGUGCCAGAAGCAUCGCUCAGUGAGACUUAAACAAGAAAUACCUUGUGCUACACUGCCACCUGUGCACCCUUGUUUGACUGAUGCUUGAUCCUGUCUGCUGGGAAGGCUGGCUGAAUGGAGGCAGACCCAUCUCCUCUUUCUCUCCUCUGGAACGUGCUUUCAGUCUGCUGCUGCAGUGCAGAUUUGCAGCUGGGUUCUGCUCAGGGUGUGUGGCUGCUCGGCCUCACUGCUGCUUUCCUGCACUGGAUGCGUGCACCUCCAGGAGUGUUGGUUCUUCUGCAUCUCAGGGAAGGAGACUCAUCCUCAUCUGCGCCCUUUUCAGCUGUGAAGGAAGUGUUGGUGCAGGGUCUCCAGGAGGGCCAUAGGUCCUAUGGGCCAACCUGGGCUCAUCCACGCAGAGCUCCUCCUGGCGCAGUGUGUCUGCCAUAUCCCAGGAUAGAGGAUCCCUGCUGGCUGAGUGCUGCCCUGCGGUGUGGACAGAGGGAGAAGAGGACCCUGAGCUGGGCUCGAUGCCAACAGAGACAUUUGGUGUGGGCAGCGGGAUGGUUCCCAGCGCCCAUCCACCUCAUGGCCAUGCACAGGGCAGAGCACAGGGCACUGCUCAGCGCCCUCCGUGAGUCCCUCUGCAGACUAAACAGCUGUUUCUGAUGAAAAACAUCCCCCUGAAAAGCCAACGAGCAAAACCACGGCCUCCCUUAAUGAUAUUUGCUUUGUGGUUUGGGUUUGGAAUAUCUUCCCUACAACUGAAGAGCAAAACCCUCUCUCGACUGGAAGCGCUUUUGAUUUCCUCCCUUCCCAAGGCUCCUCGGGGACAUUGGCAGCACCGUGGUUUGUCACCGUGGACUCUCCCCUUGUUGGGACCCCAUGGGAUCAUUGACUGGAGGAUGAAGGGGUUUCUCCAUGCGAUGAGCUGCAGCCACUGUGCUCCCUCCGUGGACCAUUCCAACUCCUUCCAACGCGGUUGUAUUUUAUCCGUGGAGCUCUUUUCUCACACUGGAUGGGCUGGGCUGCACCACGGGGAGGUGUUGGGAAGCACAGCGGCUGAAUGUGCCACUGCAGAGCCCACUCACAGCCAGGGCGCAUCCCCAGACUGCUCAUUUCUGGGCUCUCUUACCACCCAUGCAAGCACCUCCAUGAGGCCAGUGUGCCAAGCAGACUCCACCAUGCGGCAUUUCCCAGCAGAUCCCCCCAUGCUGCUUCUCCAGACUGCAUGUGCAGCUGCAAGCAGGAAUUCCCAGAGGAGCAGAAGAACUCUCCGGGCUCUGCUGUUAUCCUACAAGGCAUCAGCGUGGGGCCGGAUAAACCCAACGGAUCAAGGGCAGCUUGGCUGGUCAAUGGGAGGCAGCCAAGGCAAACAGCAGUGGCUCCCAGACCUCAACAGGAGCCCCUCGGUGGCUCACUACACUUCAUUUGCUCUUUUGCUUUUAGGAGAAGGGGUGAGGUGUGGGGCUGGGCAUGACAACAUGUGGGCUCUCGAGCGAACCCCCCCAGGGCCGAUGGAAACUGCGUACCGCUCAGCACGCUGCGCACGUCAUUAGGAAAAUGUUAGUUAAAAGGAAGGAUGCAAAUGGUCCCAGGCUGUGCUUCCUGAUCACUCCGCAGUGCCUCUGUGACAUCAUGUGCUUUUGUUACGGCUCCGAAACGCCUUCGAUGCUUUUUCGGGCACGUUCCCUCCCGCUCUGUCAGGGCUGGUUCACAUUAGGAUGUUUGCUCAGCAGCUACUGGGG